GGGGAAGGCGUCCAGCAAGAACAGCCGUGUUGGAGGAAACAAUGGCAGGGCAAUAGCGAUGGUGGCAGCAGAGGCAGCCCCACUCUGGGCACCUUUCUGAAUGGGCAGAGACAGCUCUGAGAGAAGAGGGGACCAGGCAGUGCCUGCAGAGGCUCUGAGAAAAGCGGCAGAGGGAGGAGAAGAGGGAGGAGGAGGAGAAAGGAGGAGGAGUAGGAGGAGGAGGAGGUAAGGGGAGGAGGGGGGAUGAAGCAGGGGAAGAACCUGGGAAGGAAAACCAGUAGCAUCAGCAGCAGCAGCCGCCACCGCCGCCACAGCAGUAGCAUUAGCGGCAGUAGCAGCAUAUAGCAAUAGCUUUAACAGCUAUAGCGACAGUAGCAGCCGCCCUCCUCUUUCCCUCUCGCGGACGGCUGCAGCCACCGCACAGAGCGGGCUCCAGGCGCCGAGCGUGCAGUCCGCUAACUAGGUAGCUCCAGCCGGGGCGAGAGGUAGUGCAGGCGAAGCAAGGACCCUUAGAGCAGCCAGGCAGCCGCAGAAGCUCUGAGUUUUAGGGCCAGAGCCUGACAGCUCUGACUCCAUCUAGCGUGGCGGCGGCGGAGCCUGAGGGAGCGAGCGACGAGAGAGGCGCGUCCACCUGGCGGGCCCUGCGCAUGGAGCUGAGGCAAAGGCGGCGGCGGCGGCGGCAGCAGUAGCAGUAGCAGCGGCGGUGGCGGCGAAGACAGCUCGAACAGCUGAGGCGACGGCGGCAGCCCAGCCUUGACUGCGACCGCGCUAGCUACAGCGCCUGCUGCCUGAGCCCGCCAGCGACGUGCGCCUCAGGAAUCGGCCUGUGAGUGGAGGGCCAUGGAGUGGGAUGGAGACUCGCUCUGUUGCCCAGGCUGGAGUAUAGUACUGCAAUCUCGGCCCACUGCAAUCUUCACCUCCCAGGUCGUGCUGAUGCAAGAGGUAGUUUCCCAUAGCCUUGGGCAGCUCCAUCCCUGUGGCUUUGCAAGGUAUAGCACCCCUCCUGGAUGUUUUCACAGGCUGGCAUUGAGCGUCUGUGGCUUUUCCUGGCACAUGUUGCAAGCUUUCAAUUGAUCUACCAUUCUGGGGUCUGGAGGAUGGUGGGCCUCUUCUCACAGUUCCACUAGGCAGUGCCUCAGAAGGGACUCUGUGUGGGGCCUCUGAACCCACAUUUUUCUUCUGCACUGCCCUAGCAGAGGUUCUGCAUGAGGACUCUGCCCCUGCAGCAAACUUUUGCCUGGUAUCCAGGUGUUUCCAUGCAUCUUCUGAAAUCUAGGUGGAGGUUUCCAAACCUCACUUCUUGACAUCUGUGCAUCAACAGGCUCAACACCAUGUAGAAGUUGCCAAGGUUUGGGGCUUGCACUGUCUGAAACCAUGGGCUGAGCUGUACCUUGGCCCCAUUUAGCAACAGCUGGAGCAGCUGGGACACAGGGCUCCAAGUCCCUAAGCUGCACACAGCAUGGGGACCUUGGGCCCAGCCCGUGCAACCAUUUUUUCCUCUUAGGCUCCCGGGUCUGUGAUGGGAAGUGCUGCCAUAAAGACCUGUGACAUGCCCUGAAAACAUUUUCCCCAUUGUCUUGGGGAUUAACAUUUGGUUCCUUGUUACUUAUGCAAAUUUCUGCAGCCAGCUUGAAUUUCUCCUCAAAAAAUGGGUUUUUCUUUGCUACUGCAUCAUCAGGCUACACAUUUUCUGCCCUUUUAUUCUGUUUCCCUUUUAAAAGGGAAUUCUUUUAGCAGCACCUGAGUCACUUCUUGAAUGCUUUGCUUCUUAGAAAUUUCUUCUGCCAGAUACCCUAAAUCAUCUUUCUCAAGUUCAGAGUUCCACAAAUCACUAGGGCAGGGACAAAAUGCUACCAGUCUCUUUGCUAAAACAUAACAAGAGUCACCUUUGCUCCAUUUCCUAACAAGUUCCUCAUCUCCAUCUGAGAUCACCUCAGCCUGGACCUUAUUGUUCAUACACUGUCAGCAUUUUUGUCAAAGCCAUUCAACAAGUCUAGGAGGUUCCAAACAUUCCCACAUUUUCCUGUCUUUUUCUGAGCCCUCCAAACUCUUCCAACCUCUGUCUGAUACCCAG
rnacentral:lncRNA from 13 species